rnacentral:rRNA from 1 species
AUGGGAGCGCGCUGGAGAGAUGGUAAGUUACUGGGUGGCGCCUGGGGCGCGCCCGCCGCAGCGCCUACGGCAGGGCCGUUGGUGCCGUGGUGGGCAUUCCGAUUUCCCCCUCUGAUUCCCCAGGGCCUCCGUCCGCCGCACCGCACCCGCUAGGGCCGUGUGGCUUAGGUGCCCCAGGAGGAGGACGCAGCGCGGGGCUUCUACCAUUGCGGUGUCCGCCACGCGAGGUUAACUCCCGUUGCUCGGUUGGUAAGUCUGGCCAGCGGCCAGCUACCCACAGAUCCCAUCCGGCAGCGGUCGGGGGCGAUCCCCCGUCCCCUGUAUCCAGGCGACUCCAAUACGCCGUGCAUCCUGAGAUGUCGGUUUCGUGGAGGUCGACGUCCCACUAUGAACCCCCCGCGAGCGAAACCGGAACCUGCAAUCCUGUUCAUAAGGCCACGCAGUGGUUGUCUGCAAAAUCAGGUACUGUUUUGGUGCGCAACGCCGCCCUUUUCGCCGUGCGUUCAAACCCCCAACCGGGGCUUACUGACUGGGUAC